UGGUUCGUCACAAGGGCAAUUCU
rnacentral:ncRNA from 3 species